AAGUCAUGCAUACAUGCAACCUAUGUUUACUUAGCCACCACAUUUUUUUCUGUAAAAUUCAGAAUGAAAAAAGGAUGAUAGUUGGAUAAACCAAGAGGUUCUUGGUCUAAUAGUUAAUUUGAAAGAUGAGAAUUUUGAUUCGAAUCCACUUAGUAGGAAAGUUGUUUCCAAAAAAGGUUCCGAACGGUGAUCGAACCGCAUUGUGCGGUGCAGUGUAUGUAGAUAUUUUCGUUACUAUUAGAACUGCAUUGUACUUUAUCCGCAGUUGAACUGCACGUUACUAUUCUGAUCCACGAAGAUUAGGAUCCAUCACGAAUUUUUUGGCAAAAUAUAUAUUUAUAUAAUGAGAGAGUGGGGUGGGAGACGGAGUUGACUUUGAAAAGGUUUGGGGAUAAAACAAAAUAUAUAAUGGAAUUAGGGAGGGAUAUUGUAAUAUAAGAAAGUAAGAAAGAUAAGAGGUGGAAAAGGGAAGAGGAGAGAU
rnacentral:sRNA from 1 species